rnacentral:rRNA from 1 species
AGAGUUUGAUCCUGGCUCAGAACGAACGCUGGCGGCAGGCUUAACACAUGAAAGUCGAGCGCUGUAGCAAUACAGAGCGGCAGACGGGUGAGUAACGCGUGGGAACAUACCCUUCGGUUCGGAAUAGCCCAGGGAAACUUGAAUUAAUACCGGAUACGGCCGGAAGGCGAAAGAUUUAUCGCCGAAGGAUUGGCCCGCGUUCGAUUAGCUAGUUGGUGAGGUAACGGCUCACCAAGGCGACGAUCGAUAGCUGGUCUGAGAGGAUGAUCAGCCACAUUGGGACUGAGACACGGCCCAAACUCCUACGGGAGGCAGCAGUGGGGAAUAUUGGACAAUGGGCGCAAGCCUGAUCCAGCCAUGCCGCGUGAGUGAUGACGGCCUUAGGGUUGUAAAGCUCUUUCGCUAGGGACGAUAAUGACGGUACCUAGACAAGAAGCCCCGGCUAACUUCGUGCCUGCAGCCGCGGUAAUACGAAGGGGGCUAGCGUUGUUCGGAAUUACUGGGCGUAAAGCGCGUGUAGGCGGGCUUUUAAGUCAGGGGUGAAAUGCCAAGGCUCAACCUUGGAACUGCCUUUGAUACUGGAAGUCUUGAGUCCGGGAGAGGUGAGUGGAACUGCGAGUGUAGAGGUGAAAUUCGUAGAUAUUCGCAAGAACACCAGUGGCGAAGGCGGCUCACUGGCCCGGAACUGACGCUGAGACGCGAAAGCGUGGGGAGCAAACAGGAUUAGAUACCCUGGUAGUCCACGCUGUAAACGAUGGAUGCUAGCCGUUGGGGAGCUUGCUCUUCAGUGGCGCAGCUAACGCUUUAAGCAUCCCGC